rnacentral:rRNA from 1 species
GACGAACGCUGGCGGCGUGCCUAAUACAUGCAAGUUGAGCGAUGAAGAUUGGUGCUUGCACCAAUUUGAAGAGCAGCGAACGGGUGAGUAACGCGUGGGGAAUCUGCCUUUGAGCGGGGGACAACAUUUGGAAACGAAUGCUAAUACCGCAUAACAACUUUAAACAUAAGUUUUAAGUUUGAAAGAUGCAAUUGCAUCACUCAAAGAUGAUCCCGCGUUGUAUUAGCUAGUUGGUGAGGUAAAGGCUCACCAAGGCGAUGAUACAUAGCCGACCUGAGAGGGUGAUCAGCCACAGUGGGACUGAGACACGGCCCAAACUCCUACGGGAGGCAGCAGUAGGGAAUCUUAGGCAAUAGACGAAAGUCUGACCGAGCAACGCCGCGAGAGUGAAGAAGGUUUUCGGAUCGUAAAACUCUGUUGGUAGAGAAGAACGUUGGUGAGAGUGGAAAGCUCAUAAAGUGACGGUAACUACCCAGAAAGGGACGGGUAACUACGUG